UACGGAGGAUGCAAGCGUUAUCCGGAUUUAUUGGGCGUAAAGCGUCCGCAGGUGGCUGUGUAAGUCUGCUGUUAAAGAGUGAGGCUCAACCUCAUAAAGGCAGUGGAAACUACAUGGCUAGAGUGCGUUCGGGGCAGAGGGAAUUCCUGGUGUAGCGGUGAAAUGCGUAGAGAUCAGGAAGAACACCGGUGGCGAAAGCGCUCUGCUAGGCCGCAACUGACACUGAGGGACGAAAGCUAGGGGAGCGAAUGGG
rnacentral:rRNA from 1 species